rnacentral:rRNA from 1 species
GUCGUAACAAGGUUUCCGUAGGUGAACCUGCGGAAGGAUCAUUCGCACGCAUCCAAACGAACCACUGUGCAUUUCUCUUGUGAGGACUCGGACGAGGAUGGAGGUGCUCGCACCGAUACCCUCGGUCGGGAACUCGCGGGUAGCGGGAUGGGGUUGGACCGUCCUCCGGCUCUGUUUCCGCUACCGAACUCUUCUUUGAAUCUUUGUGCUUCGGCCACUGAUUAUCAUCUCUAGUGGGUUUCCCACUGCUCAAGUUGUUGACAACUUUCAGCGACGGAUGUCUCGGCUCGAACAACGAUGAAGGGCGCAGCGAAGUGCGAUAAGCAUUGUGAAUUGCAGAAUUCCGUGAACCAAUAGAGAUUUGAACGUAUCUUGCGCUUUCGGGAUAUCCCUGAAAGCAUGCCUGCUUCAGUGUCUCUACCUCUUCAUGCCAGCAGCUUGUGUCCUUCGCGGGUUCACUAGCGGCUGAUGUGUGUUUGCGUGUUAAGGUGUUCGCGCUUUCGAGCGUGCGCCCCUGACGCGUUUAUCUUACAAGGGCUUUUGCUGUGACAAGCAACUCAGUGAGCGUCUCCGAUGCAAGCUUCUGUUGUCUUGUUUGCGGUAGGCGCCUUGAUGUCUAAGCUCCUUCGGGCUUUCAACCUAGACAUGAAGUUAGGUAAGAAAACCCGCUGAAUUUAAGCAUAUAAGUAAGCGGAGGAAAAGAAACUAAAUAGGGCUCCCUUAGUAAUGGCGAAUGAACAGGGAUAAGCUCAGUAUGGAAAUCGGGGCCUUCUGGCCUUGAAUUGUAGUCUCAAGAUGUAUCGCCAACGGAGGCGCAGAUGUAAGCCUCUUGGAAAAGAGCACCAAUGAGGGUGAGAGUCCCGCUUGUCAUCUGCAGUCCCCCGUGCACGGUGUACGUUCUAAGAGUCGCGUUCCUCGGGAUUGGAGCGUAAAGUGGGUGGUAAAUUUCAUCUAAGGCUAAAUAUUGGUUCGAGACCGAUAGCAAACAAGUACCAUGAGGGAAAGGUGAGGAGGACUUUGAAAAGAGAGUUAAAAGUGCCUGAAAUUGCUGAAAGGGAAGCGAAUGGAACCAGUGCUCUUGGCGAGAUUGUUGCGUGCUAUGGUGAUGGCUGGCAUCUUCAGCGCAAGCGUGGAUGCUGGUUUUGAUCUGGACGCGCGCAGUGUUUCUCGCCUUGUGCGUCACCGUCGGUCCACAGGCGAGGAAAACUCCAGGGAGAUGGUAGCUCGUCCACGGACUUGCGAAUAUUCUUGGCAGUACUCAUCUGUAGACCGGUUUCAUUGCGUUCGGUUGCAGUGCUUUGCGAUUUCUGCGUUCUCUUGCGAGGGGCUUCGUGCUCCGAGUGGGAGGACUAAGUCUCGCGGGGCAAUCCCUGAUCGCAUAGACGAUGACUAAAUGGUUCUAUCCGACCCGUCUUGAAACACGGACCAAGGAGUCUAACAUAUGUGCGAGUUCUCGGGUGGUUAAACCUGCUUGCGCAAUGAAAGUGACUGCUGGGAUCUUUGCACCAGCAACCGACCAAUCAAUUGAGAGAGGUUUGAGUAUGAGCAUAUCUGUUAGGACCCGAAAGAUGGUGAACUAUGCGUGAA